rnacentral:misc_RNA from 1 species
UAUUCCGAGUCACCAAGUGAGUGACGCCAAGUUAUCUCAUUCCUUAUUAAAGGGAGACAGUUUUGAGGAUUCCAAGAGUGGAGAGCUGCUGCAUGGCCUUCAUCCUAUCUGUAACUAGUAUGAUGGUGUCUCUCCUGAUGCCUUACUUGGUAUCUUACUUGAGCUUCUGAAGAACCAUAACAAUUAUGAGGCUCUCUCUUCCACCUCCCCUU